rnacentral:rRNA from 1 species
UGACGGAGCAACGCCGCGUGAGUGAUGAAGGUUUUCGGAUCGUAAAACUCUGNUGUCAGGGAAGAACAAGUGCCGGAGUAACUGCCGGCGCCUUGACGGUACCUGACCAGAAAGCCACGGCUAACUACGUGCCAGCAGCCGCGGUAAUACGUAGGUGGCAAGCGUUGUCCGGAAUUAUUGGGCGUAAAGCGCGCGCAGGCGGUUUCUUAAGUCUGAUGUGAAAGCCCCCGGCUCAACCGGGGAGGGUCAUUGGAAACUGGGAAACUUGAGUGCAGAAGAGGAGAGUGGAAUUCCACGUGUAGCGGUGAAAUGCGUAGAGAUGUGGAGGAACACCAGUGGCGAAGGCGACUCUCUGGUCUGUAACUGACGCUGAGGCGCGAAAGCGUGGGGAGCGAACAGGAUUAGAUACCCUGGUAGUCCACGCCGUAAACGAUGAGUGCUAAGUGUUAGAGGGUUUCCGCCCUUUAGUGCUGCAGCUAACGCAUUAAGCACUCCGCCUGGGGAGUACGGUCGCAAGACUGAAACUCAAAGGAAUUGACGGGGGCCCGCACAAGCGGUGGAGCAUGUGGUUUAAUUCGAAGCAACGCGAAGAACCUUACCAGGUCUUGACAUCCUUUGCCACUUCUAGAGAUAGAAGGUUCCCCUUCGGGGGACAAAGUGACAGGUGGUGCAUGGUUGUCGUCAGCUCGUGUCGUGAGAUGUUGGGUUAAGUCCCGCAACGAGCGCAACCCUUGAUCUUAGUUGCCAGCAUUCAGUUGGGCACUCUAAGGUGACUGCCGGUGACAAACCGGAGGAAGGUGGGGAUGACGUCAAAUCAUCAUGCCCCUUAUGACCUGGGCUACACACGUGCUACAAUGGAUGGUACAAAGGGCUGCGAGACCGCGAGGUUUAGCCAAUCCCAUAAAACCAUUCUCAGUUCGGAUUGCAGGCUGCAACUCGCCUGCAUGAAGCUGGAAUCGCUAGUAAUCGCGGAUCAGCAUGCCGCGGUGAAUACGUUCCCGGGCUU